GGGGUGCAAACUUGUACGGCCUCUAUGGAAAUCAAUAUGGCAUUUCCUCAGAAAGCUGGGACUCUAUCUACCUCAAGAUCAAGCUAUACCACUCUUGGGCAUAUACCCAAAGGCUGUGCUAUCCUACCACACAGACACUGCUCAAUCAUAUUCAUGGUGUCUUUAUUUGUAACAGAAAGAACGUGGAACCAAUCUAGAUGUCCCUCAACAGAAGAAUGGACAAAGAACACGUGGUACAUUUACAUAAUGAAGUAUUACUCAGCUAC
rnacentral:lncRNA from 1 species